GCUCUCUCUCUGUGUCCUGCCAGUGGUUUUACCCUAUGGUAGGUUACGUCAUGCUGUUCUACCACAGGGUAGAACCACGGACGGGAUACCGGGGCGCG
ensembl:miRNA